rnacentral:lncRNA from 1 species
GCAACCUGAAAAAAUACAAAAACGAAAAGAAAAAAAAACGGAAAACGAUUUUUUUUUAAAUAAAUAAAUAAAUAAAUAAAAAAUAUAUAAAUAAAUAUAAGAAAAAAAUCUCAGACUUGGACCUCUCUCAAAAGCCCACUAAGCUACCAAUAUCAGGUUAUAAAUUCAGAGUUUCAAUGAAACAAAAGAGAUUCUAUUCCUAUUACCCUGGAUGGAAAAAGAUAGUGAGAGAAG